UACGUAGGGUGCGAGCGUUGUCCGGAAUUACUGGGCGUAAAGAGCUCGUAGGUGGUUUGUCGCGUUGUCCGUGAAAACUCACAACUCAAUUUGUGGGCGUGCGGGCGAUACGGGCAGACUGGAGUACUGCAGGGGAGACUGGAAUUCCUGGUGUAGCGGUGGAAUGCGCAGAUAUCAGGAGGAACACCGGUGGCGAAGGCGGGUCUCUGGGCAGUAACUGACGCUGAGGAGCGAAAGCGUGGGGAGCGAACAGG
rnacentral:rRNA from 1 species